rnacentral:SRP_RNA from 2 species
GCCGGGCGUGGUGGCUCACGCCUGUAAUCCCAGCACCUUGGGAGGCUGAGGCAGGCAGAUCACCUGAGGUCAGGAGUUCAAGACCAGCCUGGCCAACAUGGUGAAACCUUGUCUCUA